rnacentral:lncRNA from 1 species
GGACGAUUCCAAGGAUCACUGUUGUUGCUAAUUUUUUUUCUUUUAAAAAAUACAGAUAUUUUUAAUAAAAGUAUGUUAAUUAUGUUAACCUGUAAUGGGCUUAUUAUUUCAAAAUCAAUUAACAAUGUAAAUAUUUAAAACUUCUGUGUUAAAAUUUCUAAUAGUAUAAAUAGCAGUAGAUUUAGCCCACUCUAAGGGAGAUGGUUGUGCUUUAGUCAGGAGUAGGCCGAGGCAGCCUUCUGGUGCAGCAUGACUCAGUGGGUUUGGAGGCAGGCACACAACUCCACACAUUAUGUAACCAUGCCAUGUGAGGUGCAUUAGGUGACCACUCAUAUGAGCACGUGCUUGGCUCAAAGCCACUAUUGUCUGUAAAAGGUAAAAUUACCCUGCUGACACUACAUAUGGCUUGCACCCAGAGAGAGAAUAAAGCCAUGUCGAAACCGCCUACUCGAGUGUUUUUCCAGUUACCUGCCACCCACCCACCAACUCCCCUUGGACUUUAGUUUGGGCUAGAACCUGACAAUUGGCAUCACGAACAGGAUCCUAAGGUAAGUGAGCCUUCGGUCCCUGCUGAUUCCAGGUUGGCCAUGUGACCACAACAUGGGUUGUGGUACCCGGUGGUAGCCGUGCUGUGAGGGUGGGCCUGAGUGGAAACCUGGGUGGCAGUAGAUGGGUCCCCCAUGAGCAUGGAGAAGGCGCUGAAGCAGCUGGAAGUGCAGAGCACCAAGAAGGAGAGAGCCUUUGCUGGCAGAGUUGGAUGGGCAUUUUUAACUGUGCUAAGAAAAGUACACACCCAGUCCCUGAGGGAUGCAGACUGGAGGUCUGGCUACACCGAUCUGGAAAAUAAUUAGAGGCUGCCAUGAAUGGGGACCUCCAGGUGCAGGCAGGAUGCCUGGAGGUGUGGCUUCAGAGCUUGGAAAAGGAAUUAGAGGCUACCAUGAAUGCAGGCCUGGGUCCAUCAUCUUGUCUGGAGAUCCCCACUCAGUUUCAUACCAAGGAGGAAGAACCCCUGUUGCGGGCUCACCCGGUGGUCUGACAGAAGGUAGAUCAUGAACAGCCACUGGGGCUCCAAGGGUGGACUCAGGGACUCCCCACCAUAAUGCAACACAUUUCGUAUAUUGCCUGUACCCCAACUGAGUUGCAGGAAUUAGGCAAGCAGUGUUGCCAGUGUCCAGGGGAACCCCUGCCUGCCUGGAUGCUUCGUCUGUGGAACAAGGGAGCAGAUGGUAUCUCCCAUUCCACCUCUGAGAUGGACAAGCUGGCCUCCACCAUGACUCACCCCUCUCUCUGUCAGCGGCUGCAAGUGAGCAGGUGGUUAGUGGCAGCGCAAGGAGACCACACCCUGACUGAGUGGCUACAGGCAGCCAUAUGAACUGUGUGGAAUAAUGCUGGUGAAAUGCCCAAAACUAUUUAGAAGCAGUGGCACCCCUCUUGUGGCAACAUUUGGCAGCAUGCAGUUGGGCCAUCAACAAAUCCAAGGGCUGAAGUUCCAGGCUGGACCUGAUGCUCCAAACCUUGAAUGAAUGGCCAUGGAAAAGCAGCCCAGCCCAGGUGGAGGCUUUGUUACAUGGGCCACCACCCCUAUUCAGUUGCAGAUACACACCAAGGGUAACCGCCUCUGACCAGGUUAACAUGCUCCAACUGCAUUGUGGACUGGGCCCACACCUACACUGAAGUGACCAAUGUUUCCAACUGUUGGAUCUGCACCGCCCUUCUAGCAGCUGCAGAUGGCUUGCCUUAGCACAUACAUUCAGCAUCUGCAGAGAACCAGACAUGGCUGGAGACUUGGGGUCCCAUGGCUGAUGCCUGGAACGCAACGUGGCAAGUUUUGGACAAAGGAUGCCACAAGACCCACAGCACAGCCAUUCCCUGGCUGGCCCAUAGCAUUUAUGAUGGGUGGGGCUGGCUAGUGAGGUAACGUGCAGUACCCCUGGCCCAGGCACUGUGGUGCAUAUAGCAACACUGGGGUAAUAGCACUGUGGGAUGGGUACCCGUCACAGUGUGUGUAAGCAUAAUACAUGUCACCACACCAAAGGUAUGGUGGAAGACGCGGCCCCACCAAGGGGCCUCGAUGGACUGUGUGCCCCCUGGGAGUUUAUGGGUCUGUGGGGACACAGGGUGGCCUUACCUAUAAGCAAACUGGACUGGACAUUAUACCUGAGGGUGGCCUCAUGUACCUGCCACUGUUCUCACAUUGCCCAGAUGCCUGCAUAACUGGGAGGUGCUACACUCUCGGUUUUUGCAAGUGUAAUGAGCACCCUGGUGGUUUUACCCCUUGACAGGCACUAGCCCUGGAGUGUGUGUCACAACUGUAGAAGCCAAGUUACUGCUCUUGCAGAGCAUGCUGCUCAGGCUCUGAAUUACACCUGAGUGGCCCUCUUCCCAUUAAUGGAUGAGGUUGAUCAGAUCAGAAAGGUGGUGUUGCGAAACCGAAUGGUCUUAGACAUAGUAACUGCUGCCUAAGGAGGCACCUGUGCCCUUUUAGGAACACAAUGUUGUACCUUUAUCCCUGACAAUUGGCAGAACAUAACAGCAGCCCUGCAAGGGGUCUCACAGGAGAUUAAGGUAGUCAAGAGCCUUACUGAUGACCCCCUGCAGAGAUGGUAGACAUCCCUGGGCUCUGGCCUACGCUGGGCCCUGAUAGUCAUAAGUAGCAUAGCUGGAAUCCUAGUCGUGAGCUGUUGCUCUCCGUAUUGUUGCUGUGGAUUAUGGAUUCAGGGCUCCACCCUACGGGCACAUGUCCCUACCUGGAGGAUGCCCCUGGCCUAGGGGUGGAGUGUAAGGAAGAUGGCUGCGCUUUAGUCAGGAGCAGGCUGAGGCCACUUUUUGGUGCACCAUGACUCAGUGGGUUUGGAGCGUAGGCACACGACUCCGCACAUUAUGAACCAUGCCACUUGAGGUGCAUUAGGUGACCACUCACGUGAGCUCGUGAUUGCUUCAGAGCCUCUAUUGUCUGUAAAAGGUAUAAUUACCCUGCUGACACUGGACAUAUGGCUCGUGCCCAGAGAGAGGAUAAGGCCAUGUUCAAACUGCCUAUGAUUCCUCGGGUGUUUUUUCAGCUACCCCUCACCCACCCACCAACUCCCUUCGGACUUCAGUUUGGGCUAGAACCUUACACCCACAUAAACUAAAGCUGUAUGGGGUCCUCAGUUUUCAAGCACAUAAAAGUAUUCUGUAUCCAAAAAGUUUGUGAACCACUGCCCUAGAGAAACUUUCCAUGGCGUGCAAGAUGUAUGUAAGAAUGCCCAGUAGAGACAUAAUAAGAAACCAGAAAAAGUGGAAAUCUCAAUGCCUGUCAUCAAGAGAGAUAAAUGCAGCGUGGUCUAUUUCUGUUCUCCUCACAUUGCCCAGAUGCCUGCUUAACUGGGAGGCGUUAUGUUCUCAGUUUUUGCAAGUGUCAUAAAGGAGUGAAUGGAGCAUUACCUGUCAUUAUAGACACUGCAAAAUGAGCUAGUAGCAGGAUUUUUACCACAGGUACCCAUAAGCAACAUGUGGCAUGGUUCACCAUGGUUUUACAUUGUUGUGUAAAUAACUUAAAAUUAUGUGAAUAAUGUAAAAGCAUGGUGAACAAUGCCAUGUUUUGCUUAUGGGUACCUGCGGUAAAAAGCAAAAAUCAUGACCCUGAAGGGGUGAGCAGGCCUACAGGUGCUGGGCAGGCACUGUCUUGCAAAGAGCACAAAAUGUGCAGGUCCCUCUGGGAGUGUUAUAGUGGGUAGCUAGUCAGAAAGAGCAGGGCAGGAGAGGGCUCCCCAUACCCCACACACCAGGAGUGUCAGGUGACCAUCAGGUGAUGGUCUGGCGGUUGUUGACUGUCUUUCUAAAGUAAUAAUUGGUCACACCCGGCAACAGGGAAAAGCCGGCUCCUAAUAGAUAGAAAACACUCGAAACUGGUGAGCAGUAGUUUCCCUAUAAGAUCUCAGGAGUUGAGCCAGUGGGCUCAGGCAGGCACAUGGGACAGCCCACCCCAAGGGAAGAACCAGGGGAGAAAUAACGCAAGACCCCGAAAGCAUGCUGACGUAUAAAACCCCAAGUCAAAAGGUCAAACCACGCACUUGCUUUUUAAGUCGUCCACUUGGCCCUCUUCCAAGUGUACUUUCCUUCCUUUUGUUCCUAUUCUAAAGCUUUUAAAUAAACUUUUACUCCUGUGCUAAAA